AAUUUGAAGAGAAAGACCAAGAAAAAUAGGUUAAACGUUAUUAGAUGGACAAUUGGCAUAGUUGAAUAUAAGAGGAUAUUUUCUUUCUUUUCAAGUUUAGCUCGUGUUUUUGAUUCCAGAGCGUUAUAUAAGGAGCAGAGACUGAGGCAAGGAGACCUAGUUAUUUGAGAUUUUGAUAGGCACCAAUUCAUAUACAAUUUCGUGAUAUGAGAAUGACAGUAAGUACGUACCUAGUGUUAAAUAUGAAAUGACGAUCAGAAUAAUGACAGGAGUCAAAUGGAGUUAGCUACCAAGGUUUGCAAUCGUUUUAAAUUAUGAGCUAGAGGAAGUACUAUUUAUGGAUGAAUUUCAAUAGAUGAAAUUGUUACUAAUGGGAAAAGUUGAGGCUAAAAUUUGGAAAGCUAUAGGCAGUAUAUGUGAGUAUAUUAAGGAGAAUGAACACAUAAAGUAUUUUGUUUAGAAUUACGGCAUGGCACACAUUUCCCACAGCAGUGUUAGUUCAGAUGAAACUCAUAGUUUCAGGGGCUCCUAUCCAU
rnacentral:misc_RNA from 1 species